AACUGUAAACUAUUCGGUGUUUCUGUGAGAGCAAACAAAGUCGCGAAAGGCGUUUCUAAUUAAUUGGCCUGUUCUUAAAUUAACAUGGUUGAAAGUUUCGUCGUUAUGAGUUUCGGUGUCAAUAUGGAAAUUUUGUGUUUCCAUAUCAAUAUCAUAAGGCCCUUCCAGGUCAAUGAUUGUAUUAUGCAAAAGACAUAUAAUCUUCACAAUUAUAUCAACAAAACUGGGAUCUGUCUCAAUAGGCUUCCAGAGAAGACGCCACUUGGAUGUUAUGAUACCAAAGGCACAUUCAAUGCAUCUUCGAGCUCUAGAAAGUCUACUGUUAAUAUAUUCGUUGUUUGCAUUUAUAUCCCUUCUUGAAUAUGGCCUUAAAAGAUUUUCGAGUAGUGGAUAAGCCUCAUCACCAAAAAAAACAUAUGGCAUCUUUGUGUUUGUUCCAGGCAAGCAGGAAUCUGGCGCCAAGAAUUCUCGAGCCUUUAGCAGCAUAUACAGUUGUGAUGCAUUGAAUGUUCCACCAUCACUUUGUUUUCCGUAACCUCCAAAUUCUAUGGCAAUAAAUUUGUACUUGGCAUCUGCUACCGCUUGAAAAGCCUGUUUAAAAAAAAAUGGAAGAACAUCCGCGACCAAUUCCGAAGCGAAUGGAAAAAAAUUCCUAUUCCAAAAUCUGGAGACCCUGGAAUUUCGGAGGAGGCUUACAGCCAUUACACUUCUUGGCCUCAUUUCACCAGUUUUGCUUUUUUUUAAAAGACCAGAUGAAACCGCGCAAAUUGGUUGGAAGUUUUGACGCAUCAUCACAAUUUUCCUUUCCAAAAGGAAAAUGGAUCCGAAACAAAAAUUAAUAUGCCGAAUGAAAAUUGAAAAAACAAUUUUUAAUUUUUCUUUUGACGGUAUUUCCGAUACCGACAAACUAUAAUACGCAAUAAAUAUAUUAAAAACUUA